CUGCCCGACCUCUCCUGCCCAAGGCCUGGGGGUCCGCUGCGCAGCGCCGCUCAGUGUUUUGGGUGCCGGCAGGACUGGUGCUGCGGGUGGACGGCGGGGUAGGACUGCGGGGCACUCUCACCCCCCCAGCCUUCGGCGGGGCUGGAGCCCGCGUGUCCGGCGAGGCCCCGGGGGCUGGGAGCGGGGCCGAGCUUGGGCCGGGAAGCCGGACGCCAGGCGGGCGCGGCGCUGGAGGGCGAGCGGGUCUCCCGCUUCCUCUGCAGAGCCCCGCGGACCGGAUCGCUGGCUUUGCUCUGCGCCUGGCGAGGCCCAUAAUGAGGACCUUACAACCAGAGAGACCUGCAAGGCUGGGUUCUCUGAAGACGAUUACACGGCAUUAAUCUCCCAAAAUAUUCUAGAAGGGGAGAAGCUACUUCAAGGUAGGGCGGGGCGUGGAGGGGUGGGAGUGAUUUGCUGCCAUGCUUUUCCUUGGGGAAACUUGUAGAGGGGAG
rnacentral:lncRNA from 1 species